GCUCAGGAUGAACGCUAGCUACAGGCUUAACACAUGCAAGUCGAGGGGUAGCAGGGUAGCAAUACCGCUGACGACCGGCGCACGGGUGAGUAACACGUAUCCAACCUUCCCAUAACUCGGGGAUAGCCUUUCGAAAGAAAGAUUAAUACCCGAUAGUACUUAUAUAAGGCAUCUUAAAUAAGUUAAAGAUUUAUUGGUUAUGGAUGGGGAUGCGUUCCAUUAGAUAGUUGGUGAGGUAACGGCUCACCAAGUCUUCGAUGGAUAGGGGUUCUGAGAGGAAGGUCCCCCACAUUGGUACUGAGACACGGACCAAACUCCUACGGGAGGCAGCAGUGAGGAAUAUUGGUCAAUGGGCGAGAGCCUGAACCAGCC
rnacentral:rRNA from 1 species